rnacentral:rRNA from 1 species
CCUACGGGAGGCAGCAGUGGGGAAUAUUGCACAAUGGGGGAAACCCUGAUGCAGCGACGCCGCGUGAGUGAAGAAGUAUUUCGGUACGUAAAGCUCUAUCAGCAGGGAAGAAAAUGACGGUACCUGACUAAGAAGCCCCAGCUAACUACGUGCCAGCAGCCGCGGUAAUACGUAGGGGGCAAGCGUUAUCCGGAUUUACUGGGUGUAAAGGGAGCGUAGACGGCAGCGCAAGUCUGGAGUGAAAUCCCAUGGCUUAACCAUGGAACUGCUUUGGAAACUGUGCAGCUAGAGUGCAGGAGAGGUAAGCGGAAUUCCUAGUGUAGCGGUGAAAUGCGUAGAUAUUAGGAGGAACACCAGUGGCGAAGGCGGCUUACUGGACUGUAACUGACGUUGAGGCUCGAAAGCGUGGGGAGCAAACAGGAUUAGAUACCCGGGUAGUC